AAACUCCAAUGCACAUGGCAGCAAAAAAUGGAUGCAACAAAGCUGCAAAGUUACUUCUGGCCCACGGGGCUGUUGUUGAAGCCCAAGCAAAUAAUGGUAUGACUCCUCUACACCUUGCUGUUUGGUACUCUCUACGAGCCGAAGAAUUAUUAACUGUGAAAACAUUGCUUGACUACAAUGCAGAUUGCUAGGUAUUCAAGUUUCUUUUCAGCUUCAAAUUAUGCCUCGUUCAGGUUUUUCAAAGUUGAUUGUGAUUUCUUUCUUUUGUAUUCUCUCCAGGGAGUUCCAUUACAAAUAAAUCACAAAACCCCUCAUAACACGUUAAGAGUUCUUUUCUUCUUUUUGGUGACUUACUCAUUUUUAUAAUUUAUACAGGGUGGAAAAAGAACCCCCUUCAACUCUUAUGUGGACUUUGUUUUUGUUGGCUCAAGUCUGUAGCUAGUUUUCAUAUUGGUUUCUUGACUAUCUUUUCUUCCCCUUCUAUUUUGGCCUAUUUAUGAUGAUUUUUGCCGGUGCAGCAUUAUGACAGACGAGGCCAAUAUAAAGUUGCUCUUUCCAAAAUUGACGAGGCCAUAGAACACACACCUACCGUUAUUGAUCUAUAUUCUGUCAAGGCUAUGGCAUUAACAGUGGUAUCUAUCGGUGUUGCUGUGGCUACGAUGACUGAUCUGCAAUUCCAUUUUUUUGGUGCAUGUGUGGCAUUGGUGUGGAUUGUACCAAGUGCUGUAAAUAAAAUCCUCUGGUCUCGGCUAUAGCAGCAAGAGAACUAGACAGCUUUGUCGUGAUCUGAUGUAGAAAAUAACACCUAUUACGUUGAUUUUCCUGGCUGCUAUGAUGCCCUACUUAGACCCUCCGGGUGUCCUCUCCUUUGGUUGGAACUUCAGAAACACACCCGUGAUUUUUGGCUCGGCAAUUCUUGGAUUCUUGCUUCAGUGGUCUGGUGCUUUAGCAUUAGGGUCCUGACAGAAGGAUCUUCUUGCCAGAGGGUCUCUUGGACCGAUCCGAGAUCCUACCAUACUUGAAUGGAGAAGUGCCCGGAGACUAUAGUUAUGAUCCUUUUGGUCUCAGCAAGAAGCCAGAGGACUUUGCCAACUACUUGGAACUUCUCGCAAAUGCCUUGGACCGUGAAAAUUGGUCACUGGUUCAAUUUCUCAUGUCAUCUUCUUACAGUGGAUAUGGCACCUCCAGCUUUCAACAAGUAAACAAGUUCACAAAUGUUCCAGAAAUAAUUAUGUAUGAUCUAAGAGAAGGAGGUUUAAGAGGGCUAGAGGAAGGAGGAACAACAAAGGAAAUAGAAUUUAAGUUGUAUUGUUUCUGUAUUUUUUUUUAAGUUUUUAGUUUUAGAAUUCGAACUUGAGAUUUAUUUUGUAUUUGAGUAUUAGUUUUUUAAUGUAUAAAACAGUUAUCGCAAAAAUUAUGUCA